CAGUAACGGCGAGUGAAGCGGUAACAGCUCAAAUUUGAAAUCUGGCCUCACGGUCCGAGUUGUAAUUUGUAGAGGAUGCUUCGAGCAUGGUCUGGCCUAAGUUCCUUGGAACAGGACGUCAUAGAGGGUGAGAAUCCCGUAUGCGGCCAGGUGCCUACGCUCAUGUGAAGCUCCUUCGACGAGUCGAGUUGUUUGGGAAUGCAGCUCAAAAUGGGUGGUAAAUUUCAUCUAAAGCUAAAUAUUGGCCAGAGACCGAUAGCGCACAAGUAGAGUGAUCGAAAGAUGAAAAGCACUUUGGAAAGAGAGUUAAACAGUACGUGAAAUUGUUGAAAGGGAAGCGCUUGCAACCAGACUUGCGCGCGGCCGAUCAUCCGGUGUUCUCACCGGUGCACUCGGCCGUGCUCAGGCCAGCAUCGGUUUUGGCGGCUGGAUAAAGGCCCUAGGAAUGUGGCUCCUCUCGGGGAGUGUUAUAGCCUAGGGUGCAAUGCAGCCUGCUGGGACCGAGGACCGCGCUUCGGCUAGGAUGCUGGCGUAAUGGUUGUAAGCGGCCCGUCUUGAAACACGGACCAAGGAGUCUAACAUCUAUGCGAGUGUUUGGGUGUCAAACCCAUACGCGUAAUGAAAGUGAACGGAGGUGAGAACCCUUAAGGGUGCAUCAUCGACCGAUCCUGAUGUCUUCGGAAGGAUUUGAGUAAGAGCAUAGCUGUUGGGACCCGAAAGA
rnacentral:rRNA from 1 species